rnacentral:rRNA from 1 species
UACAGAGGUCCCAAGCGUUGUUCGAAUUCACUGGGCGUAAAGGGUGCGUAGGUGGUGAGGUAAGUCGGAUGUGAAAUCUCCGAGCUCAACUCCGAAAUGGCAUUGGAAACUACCUUGCUCGAGGGUUGGAGGGGGGACUGGAAUGCUUGGUGUAGCAGUGAAAUGCGUAGAUAUCAAGCGGAACACCAGUGGCGAAGGCGAGUCCCUGGACAACUCCUGACACUGAGGCACGAAAGCUAGGGGAGCAAACAGG